CGCGUAGGUGGCUUGUCAGGUCUGAUGUGAAAACCUGGGGCUCAACCCCAGGCCUGCAUCGGAAACCGGCUUGCUAGAGUCUGGGAGAGGAGAGUGGAAUUCCUGGUGUAGCGGUGAAAUGCGUAGAUAUCAGGAGGAACACCGGUAGCGAAGGCGGCUCUCUGGAACAGUACUGACACUGAGGCGCGAAAGCGUAGGGGAGCGAACA
rnacentral:rRNA from 1 species